GUCGUAAUGGGGACGAUGGAUUGGAUGGAGCCACAGGAGCCAAAGGAGACAUGGGACUCCAGGGACAGAAGGGAGAUCAGGGUGACAGAGGUGAACCUGGCUUACCGGGGGAUACUGGGCAGACAGGAGAGAAGGGAUUCCGAGGCCUACCUGGACGCAUAGGAAGCACUGGGCUAGAUGGAGAAAAGG